UACGUAGGGUGCGAGCGUUAAUCGGAAUUACUGGGCGUAAAGCGUGCGCAGGCGGUAAGUUAAGUCUGAUGUGAAAGCCCCGGGCUCAACCUGGGAAUGGCAUUGGAAACUGGCUUGCUGGAGUGUGGCAGAGGGGGGUGGAAUUCCGCGUGUAGCAGUGAAAUGCGCAGAUAUCAGGAGGAACACCGAUGGCGAAGGCAGGUCUCUGGGCAUUAACUGACGCUGAGGAGCGAAAGCAUGGGGAGCGAACAGG
rnacentral:rRNA from 1 species